UGCGUAGGCGGACUAAUAAGUCAGUGGUGAAAUCUUUCGGCUCAACCGAGAAACUGCCAUUGAUACUGUUAGUCUUGAGUUCGGCUGAGGUAGGCGGAAUGUGUAAUGUAGCGGUGAAAUGCUUAGAUAUUACACAGAACACCAAUUGCGUAGGCAGCUUACUAGACCGACACUGACGCUGAGGCACGAAAGCGUGGGGAGCGAACAGGAUUAGAUACCCUGGUAGUCC
rnacentral:rRNA from 1 species